rnacentral:lncRNA from 1 species
ACUGUAAGUUUCCUGAGGCCUCCCCAGCCCUGCAGAAUUCACUACUCCUUGCCGCCACCAUGCAAAGAACAAUGUGUUUGCUUCCCCUUCUGCCAUGAUUGUAGGUGUCCUGAGGCCUCCCAGCCCUGCAGAACAAUGUGGAAAUUGAGGCUCAUAAAGGUUAACAUCCCCAAAUAAGGGUCUACGUCCAAAUCCUAUGCUCUUAAGUCCUAUAUUGUCUCCCAAAUGAAGAGGGUCUUCUCGUGAAAAUGGCCUGGAAGUGGUAUAGGGAGCUAAAGAUGAUAAAAACCUAUCUCCUGGCUUUGGCUUAUGAGGUAUGGACAAAGAACAGGCUCUGUUGGAGGGAACUGAAAAUGAAGUAAGCUCCUUGGGGUUUCAAUUUUAAAAGAUGUGAUGGAGUGCCCUGUUAAAAGGUUGAGGGCACAGAGGAAGUGGGUUUGCAGAUAAAUAGGAAUGAGUUAGGAGACUGGACAGCUGUAAGAAAAUGAGCAAGGAGAGUGGAUGAGACUUCUCAGCAGCCAUGGGGAUAAAAGGAUGAAUGCAUUGUUGACUGAAUGCAAGUGUACACUUAAGUAUUUAGUGACUGUGUGAACAAGAAGCUUGGACAGAAUUAGAGCAGCUGAACUGCCUAGGAGUAUCGGGAAGUACUCAAACAGUAUUAGGCUAUAGUACUUACUGUAUACUCCUUCAAUUUUUGUGAGCACUCUUCUCCCUGGAGGGACUUCUACUCCACUAAUAUGGCCUAUCUACUCCUCAUCAAGUUCUGGCAUAACCUCUAGUUACUCUACCAUCUACUGCUUCACUUCUGUUAACUUAGCUCUAUCCUGCUGCAAGGGUCAGGGGCAAGAAAAUAAAUCAUGAUCAGUAGUGAAAGUAGUAACUACACAAAGAAGGCCAGGAAUGAAUUUUUCAGAAGAUGAGUUAAAAGUUUCUGAAGCAUGUUUCAUACCACCUCUUACAUUCUCAGUAGUAGGUAGAAACCUGGGUGUAAUCCUAGACCACUUAAGAAUGUGCCAGAGUUUAGGCCUAAAAGGAAUGGAUGUCAAUGGUUUUUCAAAAUACGAAAGUACCCAACUUCAGACAUAUAUUCCAUUAUAGUUAAAAAGCUGUGUAUUUUUUACAUUCAGAGAUGGGUAGAAAGUAAGGGUUUGGUGUGUCAAUCACUAAAAAGCAAAAUAUUUAGUACUGCCUUAGGAGUUGCUCAGAAAAACUGUACCUUACAACUGGAAUCCAAAUAAUCCAAAACAGAUAUAAAGUAUGUAGAAAUAGGCUGAUAGCUCCUGAAUGAUGACAACAGCUGGCUCCCAGCCACUCUGCCUAGAAGCAGUUGCUAGGCAGCACCACAUUUGCUCACAAAUGCACUUUUCACCCAAUAAUCAGUAUUAUAACACACAUGCCACCCUCCGAUCAGUUUUUCUGCUCCUGUGUAGUUUAAAGGCAAAAGACUCUGGAGAUAGUAUCAGAUCCCACAGGUUUGAUCCUACAAGACUGCCCAACUUCAGAUGCCGACUGCAAACCCCAGGCUGUGGCCUGAUCAGCUGGCUAUAAAUUGGACUUCCAAUGACCCCCACCUUGAAUUCUAUUAAUUUGCUGGAGCAGCUCACAGAACUUGGGGAAACACUUUAUUUACCUCUACUCAUUUAUUAUAAAGAAAGGAUACAAAGAGCCAGAUGGAAGAGAUGCAUAAAGGAAGGUAUGUGGAAAGGCACAUGGAGCUCCCAUACCCUCUCAAGCCACUUCAACCUCCAGGAACCUCCACUAUCCAUUCUGCUGUCCAGAAGCAACUCCCCAAACCCCAUAGUUCAGGGAUUUUUAUGAAGGUUUCAUCACGUAGGUAUAAUCAAUUAUUAACUCCAUUUCCAACCUCUCUUCCCUUUCCUGAGAAUGGGGAAUAGAAGAGUGAAAGCUCCAACCUUAGAACUAUGGCUUAGUCUUUCUGGUGAUCAUUCCCCAUCUAGGUGCCCACUAAGAGUUGCCCCAUUAGAACAAAAGAUGCUUCUAUCACCCUGGAAACUACAAGGGAUAUUUAGGAUCGCUGUGUCAGGAACCAGGGUCAAAGACCAAAUAUUAGAACAAAAGAUUCUUCUAGCAUCCCUAUCACUCAGGAAAUUACAAGGAUUUCAGGAGCCCUGUUACAAGGAAUGGGGGCAGAGACCAAUACAUAUAUUUCUUAUAAUUUCACAGCCUUCACUCUGGUCUCUGGCCAUGGACCCCUUACAGCAAAAUGAUCAUAUCUAUCUGAGCAUUUACAUUUAGUGUCACAUUUAUACAACAAAUAUAGCAAAUACCUAACAUUUAGAGAAGCCAGUGUAGGGUAGGGGUAGAUUUAAAGAAACAAUGAGUUUUCCCUAAAAAUCCAUUAUAUACAUUUUCGUAUUCUGGCACUGAUUUGCUUAUUCUCUUUCUCUGUUGAUCUACCGCUGUUUGUACCUUAUGAUAAACUUGUGCAGAACUAUUUAGCAUAGGAAUAAACUGAUAGCUAGCGAGAUCCAGGUCCUUCUCAAGCCAGUCAUUUUCUAUAGAUAUUACAUCCUCAGGAGGCUUUAUUUUAAUCUCUCUGUACAUUUGAUCAUCAAUACAGUAUUAUCCUAAAACAUUUACAUGAGGUAGUUGAAUCUUACCAACAACACCUAUAUUCCACCAUACUGCAGGGGUAAGAGAAGAAAACUAGCAGGAUUUAGCUUUUUAAAAUUUUUUUGCAUUGCAACUACUGUAUGUAUCUACUAAAUUAGAAACUUGUAUCUAACUAAAAUGAUACGUUUGAAUAUGGCUGGCCUGAUGAAUGAAAAGACUAGGAUUUGAUGUUCUCUGUCUCCAAUGUGUCUUCCUCCUUAUUUGUUCCCAACAUCUAACUUUCAAUUGCAGUAUUAGAAAAUUUCCAGGUCAAGGCCUUUUCCCCAGUUAAAAUUCAAAUGCCUUAGAGACACAAAGACCUAGUCAUCAAUUCUUAUACUCCUUCUUUGAGAAACUGAGAAGGAAUUUCAGUAGAUGGGUGAGAAAAAUAGCUGGAAUGAAUGAUAGAGUACUAGUUAUAAAAUAGUUUAUAAAAUCUCUCUGUGUGAUCUGUGAUAGGGUCACUUAGCCUGCCCUGGUUUCAGUUUGUUCAUCUCUAAUAUGAAAAAUUGGACUAGAAGUCUAUUCCUGUUGUAACAUACUACAUCUUCAGGCCCCAAAUCCAGCCCAGUUUACAAGAAUGAAUAAACAUAGUAAAAUAGAAGAGGGCCUCUGUAAACCAAGUAACCACAAGAUAGAAAAAUAUCCUGGGCUGGAUGGGAAGGGAUCUCUUAAAAGGAGGAGAGGCACUCAGAGGAAGAAGGACAGAGAAGGCCUGUCUCACCAGGUCCACAGUUGUACCUACAGCCAGUUCUCUUUAGAGAUAGGUCUAUCUUUGUGAGAUUAUUCAUGUAGGUAUUCUGAAGGUCCUGCUAGCUAUAGGAUCUUCUGAUCAUGGUGACUUACACAAGACUCACAUCUCUCUACCUCUCCACUUGUCUGGUUUGGUUACUUGCUAAUAUUAUUGCCUCUGUUUUCUUCUCUAACAGAUGCUGCAACCCACCGAGAACAACAUUAGACUAUACUAUGCCCACAUUAAUUACUUUCCCCCUCAUCACCUUAGAAAAUACUUUCAUUUUUCAGUAUUGUGUGGACACCUGUGAGCUGGUUAUUUUGAAAAAGGAAAAACCCAACCAAUUAAAAUGGACUGCUCUAUUAAAGAACAUAACAUAAUCAGGGCACAUGGCAAGUAUUUAUUUGUUUUUUAAAAAUAAGUAUGUUGAGGGAUGGGAGUGAUUCUGACUAUCAAAUAUUUUACAAAGAUAUUCACAAAAUCAUUUAUAUUUUGUCUGUGAAUAAAUUUUAAUUACACAAAUAAUUUAUGGGUCCAAUUUUUUAAUUGAAAUCUUCCAGCAUAACUUUUCAUGGUUGCAACCACACUUUUAUAGAAAAAGUUUAGACAUAAUCCAGACAUCCAUAAAUAAGGAAUUAAUUAAAUUAUGAGGCAUCAGUAAAUGGAGUACUCUACAGCUAUUAAAAAAUGAGGCAGAUAUACAUGUACUGAUUUGUACAGAAGCCAAAUAUAUGCCAGUUGAUGUACAUGUGCUGAAUUCUAAGAAACUGAAAUAUAUGCCAGUUGUAGAAUGUUAUGUACAACCUAAUUUCAAUUGUGGUAAACACAGGUAUACACAUAUAUGCUUACGUCAUAUCAUUAAAAAAUAUUCCAGGUUCAUAAACAGAGCUACCAUAUGUAGGUGUUUUCUGAAGUGCAAGGAGACAUCAUUCAUAGUCUUCUAUGAUAAUCAAUUGACUGGCAUCCCCUUAAGGGGGAUAUGCAACAUGGAAAUCCUAUAAGGAUACAUAGCUCUUAAGUUUAGGUUUUUAUACUAUUAGAGACUUUUCUUCUUUAUACAUUUCUACAUUGAGGGUUUUGUUGUUUGUUUUGUUUUGUAUAAUACGUGUUACAUCAAUUUUAUGAACAUAAACACAUGCAAAGAAGCAUGUAAACAAACCAAAAAUCUAUGAUGGCAAUUCUGGGUAGGAGGAAAAGCAAUAUAUUUAUUAAGCAUUCAUUGAAGACGUACAUCAUAAACAUGUAUUAUUUGUGUGUUUAAGAUAUCCUGAUUUAAAUGGGCUGCCCUGGGGCAUAUGACUAAUCUUUGGCAGAACCAGCACUAGACUCCGGUACCAUUGCACUCCCUCUCCUUCUCCGUUACAGUUCCUGUAGCACUUGCCCUGUGUCAAGACCAUAGAUUAGCUGGGUAGAGUUUGGCUGCCUUUUGUGCCUUGUGGAUAGAUUUCUGAUUAAUCCAUCUUUAGCUCUAAACACUCUUGGUUAUUACCAUGUCCAGAUUCCCUGUAAAAACACCCUCUGUAUAUUCCAAGCAUUUUUAGGUUCUUUAGAUGGAUUGGUUUCUUUUGUGACCUCUCAUUGGAUUUUUACCAGUUUGAUAGGGCGUGUGGACCCAUUAAAUAAUGUUCUCUAAAACCCCAAUGAAAACUGCUAUUUCACUUCCUUAAAGAGACAUUAGCUCCAUUAGAAGAAAAAGACACAAUGCUAUUUCAUACUAAGAAUCAGUUUCUUUUCUUAAAAUAUAUAGCUGUAUUUCCACAUUGAGUGCCACCCUCACAUUUUUCCCCUCUGAGUGCCACCCCUACUGUUAUUUCCUUAUUACUUUAUUAAAUUGACUCAUUUUAUUUUGUAUAAACUUAUUUAAAUUUUAUAUCUGUGAUUUAAAUUUUAUAUCUGUGAAUUCUCAGGUUGAUGGGUUUCAUUAUAUUGUUUUAUUAUAUAUAGAGACUGUAAAAGUAAAACCUCCUUGAACCACAUAAAACCAUCUCAGGUACCAUCAGCACUGUGUGUACCAUGCUUUGGGAAACACUGUUUAAGGCCAUCUGGGACUGUUGGUGGAAUGGCCAGAGAAGGGAGAAAUAAAAAAGAUAAGAAACAAAAAUGAUGUUGAUAUAAGUUUAUAAAAAUAUAACUCAAUUUAAAAAAUAACUUCAAUGGUAGUAAACAUUGCCUUCUUGGUAUGGUUUGACUCAGAUUUAGAUUAACACAUUAUUCAUGUUCUAAUAUAAUACUUGAAUAUAAUUUCCUCCUACAGAUCUUUAGUGGCUAAUAAACUUUAUGGUGUUUUUUCACAUAUAUUUUUAUUUUGUAAUAGUAUAAAAGCUACAUUUAGACAGCUUUAGUAUUUGCCAUGUGUCUCAAAUAUGCACAAGUACUCAGCUUGUCCAAGAUAUAUUAUCCAUAAAUCCAUUAUUCACUUCUCAAUAUCCCAUUUACUUAUUGCUCUUGGUGGUCAUUUGGGGAUGUGCGGUUGGAGGAGGAAAAACUGUGUUGGUGGAAAUGGGCUUCCCAAGAUCCUAGAAAGCUAGAGUCAGGACACCAUUCACCGAUAUAUGAGCAUUCAUUCUGCUUUUUCCUCUGAAUAAGCUUUCUGCCAAGUUUGGCUUGAGAACCAGAGUUCCAGAUGUCUUAUUUUUUUUUUUUUUUCCAGUCAGGGCACAUAUUGCUUAAGUUCUUUCCAAAUAGUAAUUUACAUCCCUGGUAUACAAAAGUAUAAGACAAAAUUAAGCUUUCCAGAUCUGGAAAGACUUACUUUGUGCAGCUAUAUAUCCCUUAACAGUGCUACACCUUGUUUACAGCUCUACAUCCCUCUUUGGGUGCUCUGGUGGCCAAAGGAAGCUGUACUGAAAUAUGCUGAAGAUGUGGCCAGCUGGCUUCCACUAAGCUUGUCUGUCCUUAGCCAAGUACAUCAGAAACUUGAGGAGAGUGUGUGUGUACAUCUUCUUUCCCAACAUCUAUAGUCUAUUUAAACUUACAAAGUUGAGAGAGAGAGAGAACUUGACAAGUCUUUUGAUGUCUUUUAUUUAUGCCUAUCAUUUAAGUAAAAACCAUCUUCACUUUGUUUUUUUUUUACUUUUUCCUGUCACUCUUGCCCCUCCCCAAAUCUGUAAUUUUGUGGGUCAAAAUCUAUUUGCUUUAUGUUUUCUUACCUAAAGUCCUAAUAAUGUGCUCUUAAACAAUUAUGUAUUCAAGAGUUAUUGUAGAUAAGUAAAUUAAUCACCAACUGAAGAUUUUAUUUUUAUAGAACAUAAAAUAAAACAGCAUUUCUUACAUUUCUUUUAUAUGUAUUUAGAAUGUGAGGUAAAGCUCUUUAAGACCGGAAAAAUAAACUCUGUAGGUUUAUCUCAUAUGAGAAUCAUGGCACUACUCAAGGAUUAAGCUUUUUUUCUUCUCAAGGAUAUUGUAAAGGAUACUUUCAGGUAACUAUGCUAUCUUAUACAUAUUUACACAACAGAAUUUUCUGUUAAGAAAAUUGUACCUAUAUAGUGAUAAUUUCUAGCACAAA